rnacentral:rRNA from 1 species
CAGGGGUGCCCGAGUGGCGAACGGGUGAGUAACACGUGGGUGAUCUGCCUUGUACUCUGGGAUAAGCUUGGGAAACUGGGUCUAAUACCGGAUAGGAACUGCCUUUAGUGUGGUGGUUGGAAAGUUUUUUCGGUGCAAGAUGAGCUCGCGGCCUAUCAGCUUGUUGGUGGGGUAAUGGCCUACCAAGGCGUCGACGGGUAGCCGGCCUGAGAGGGCGUACGGCCACAUUGGGACUGAGAUACGGCCCAG